rnacentral:rRNA from 1 species
UACGUAGGGUGCGAGCGUUGUCCGGAAUUACUGGGCGUAAAGAGCUCGUAGGUGGUUUGUCGCGUUGUUCGUGAAAUCUCACGGCUUAACUGUGGGCGUGCGGGCGAUACGGGCAGACUUGAGUACUGCAGGGGAGACUGGAAUUCCUGGUGUAGCGGUGGAAUGCGCAGAUAUCAGGAGGAACACCGGUGGCGAAGGCGAGUCUCUGGGCAGUAACUGACGCUGAGGAGCGAAAGCGUGGGGAGCGAACAGG